rnacentral:rRNA from 1 species
AACGCUGGCGGCAUGCCUUACACAUGCAAGUCGAACGGCAGCACGGGAGCAAUCCUGGUGGCGAGUGGCGAACGGGUGAGUAAUAUAUCGGAACGUGCCCAGUCGUGGGGGAUAACGUAGCGAAAGCUACGCUAAUACCGCAUACGAUCUAUGGAUGAAAGCGGGGGAUCGCAAGACCUCGCGCGAUUGGAGCGGCCGAUAUCAGAUUAGGUAGUUGGUGAGGUAAAGGCUCACCAAGCCGACGAUCUGUAGCUGGUCUGAGAGGACGACCAGCCACACUGGGACUGAGACACGGCCCAGACUCCUACGGGAGGCAGCAGUGGGGAAUUUUGGACAAUGGGCGCAAGCCUGAUCCAGCAAUGCCGCGUGCAGGAUGAAGGCCUUCGGGUUGUAACUGCUUUGUACGGAACGAAACGGUAAGCUCUAAUACAGUUUGCUAAUGACGGUACCGUAAGAAUAAGCACCGGCUAACUACGUG